rnacentral:lncRNA from 1 species
UGAUCCUCCUACUUUGGCCUUAACUUGAGAUCUCACCUUCCUGGUGUCUGGGCUUCCGCAGCUGCUGCUUCUUGAAAUCUGAUUAGCACCAUAGGACUGACAGUGGCGUAGGCAUUGACCAUAAACUUGUGGACACUGUAGAUGACAGGGCUGAAUACCCGUAACAACAUUGUGGAGGAUGAGACAGUUAAGUCCAAUGAGUGCAUAACGAUGAAGAAACUCAAUAGCAGCAAGAUGGUCUUGGUGGCCCUUUUUUCUGGGGAGGUUCUUAAUAAAAAGCUAGUGCCUGUGAAGGUGCUGGGAGCGCCUCUGAUGCCUGGACUAGAGAAUCACCAUGUAUGCACUUGACAGCAGCAUGAUUCCUACAAGGAAGACAUCUCUGGAUAACGACAGAAUAACAGCCUUCUGAUGGUGACAUUCAUUGGGGAAAGUGAGCAGUAUUUAC